rnacentral:rRNA from 1 species
UGCCAGACUCCUACGGGAGGCAGCAGUGGGGAAUAUUGCACAAUGGGGGAAACCCUGAUGCAGCGACGCCGCGUGGGUGAAGGAGUGCUUCGGCAUGUAAAGCCCUAUCGGCAGGGAAGAAGCAAGACGGUACCUGACUAAGAAGCCCCGGCUAACUACGUGCCAGCAGCCGCGGUAAUACGUAGGGGGCGAGCGUUAUCCGGAUUCACUGGGUGUAAAGGGAGCGUAGACGGCCAUGCAAGCCAGGGGUGAAAGCCCGGGGCCCAACCCCGGGACUGCCCUUGGAACUGCAUGGCUGGAGUGCGGGAGGGGCAGGCGGAAUUCCUGGUGUAGCGGUGAAAUGCGUAGAUAUCAGGAGGAACACCGGUGGCGAAGGCGGCCUGCUGGACUGCAACUGACGUUGAGGCCCGAAAGCGUGGGGAGCAAACAGGAUUAGAUACCCCUGUAUA